rnacentral:lncRNA from 1 species
GCUGAGUGUGACAGUGGUGUUGAUGCUGACCAGGUGAUGUUGACUGUUUGCUGGGGUACUACCAUCUGCGGUGGUGUCAGCAUCUCCUGACUCUAUACCAAUCUGCAUUUAUGCACAGGAAGACAUACGUCUCCGUAUCUUCCAUAUUCAAGCUCUCAUCAUUCUAAGCUCACAGCAAUAGGGUGCAGCCACAGCAACCACCUGACCAUGAAGGCAGGUCCAGGAUAUGAAUGCCACAGAGUAUCACCAGCGAUUCCACAUGGAAGUUACAUUUUUGGCUUGUGCAAUAUCUUCCCCUCCAGAAAGACUGAAAAUUUUGAAUAGAAGACUGAGCGAAGAUGGUGUGAGAGGAAACAGGCCUGACCUCGUCUCAGAGAUUGGUACGUCCUUCUGAGAAUGGAGUGGAGGAGUAGCCC